GGAUGUGAGGGCGAUCUGGCUGCUGUGACAUCUGUCACCCCAUUGAUCGCCAGGGUUGAUUCAGCUGAUCUGGCUGGCUAGGUGGGUGUCCCCCUCCUUCCUCAUAGCUCCACGUGCGUCCUUCCUGAAGCUGUGUGCACUCAGUCGAAGAGGACAACCUUCCCCAAAUAGAGGCCGACCAGCCUUCGGUCAGUGGUAUACAAGGAGCUGUGCUCCCCUGCUAGAACCUCCAAACAAGCUCUCAAGGGAACCGCAGUAUAUGUCUGGGAAUAUAUACUAUAAGCAUGAAGAUCGGGGGAACAGAAAUAUAUCCAAACGUGAUUU
ensembl:misc_RNA predicted gene, 23624